GCAGUCGUGGCCGAGUAAUUAAGGCGAUGGACUAGAAAUCCAUUGGGGACUCACCUCACAGGUUCAAAUCCUGUUGACUGUG
rfam:Ixodes scapularis strain Wikel colony gcontig_1108378543382, whole genome shotgun sequence.